GACGAACGCUGGCGGCGUGCCUAAUACAUGCAAGUCGAGCGAAGUUUUUCUGGUGCUUGCACCGGAAAAACUUAGCGGCGAACGGGUGAGUAACACGUAAAGAACCUGCCUCAUAGACUGGGACAACUAUUGGAAACGAUAGCUAAUACCGGAUAACAGCAUUAACUGCAUGGUUGAUGUUUAAAAGUUGGUUUUGCUAACACUAUGAGAUGGCUUUGCGGUGCAUUAGCUAGUUGGUGGGGUAAAGGCCUACCAAGGCGACGAUGCAUAGCCGACCUGAGAGGGUGAUCGGCCACACUGGGACUGAGACACGGCCCAGACUCCUACGGGAGGCAGCAGUAGGGAAUCUUCCGCAAUGGGCGAAAGCCUGACGGAGCAACGCCGCGUGAGUGAAGAAGGAUUUCGGUUCGUAAAGCUCUGUUGUUAGGGAAGAAUGAUUGUGUAGUAACUAUACACAGUAGAGACGGUACCUAACCAGA
rnacentral:rRNA from 1 species